UGGGGAAUAUUGCACAAUGGGGGAAACCCUGAUGCAGCGACGCCGCGUGAACGAAGAAGGUAUUCGUAUCGUAAAGUUCUGUCCUAUGGGAAGAUAAUGACAGUACCAUAGAAGAAAGCUCCGGCUAAAUACGUGCCAGCAGCCGCGGUAAUACGUAUGGAGCGAGCGUUGUCCGGAAUUAUUGGGCGUAAAGGGUACGCAGGCGGUUUAAUAAGUCGAAUGUUAAAGAUCGGGGCUCAACCCCGUAAAGCAUUGGAAACUGAUAAACUUGAGUAGUGGAGAGGAAAGUGGAAUUCCUAGUGUAGUGGUGAAAUACGUAGAUAUGAGGAGGAAUACCAGUAGCGAAGGCGACUUUCUGGACACAAACUGACGCUGAGGUACGAAAGAGUGGGGAGCAAACAGG
rnacentral:rRNA from 1 species